rnacentral:rRNA from 1 species
UCCGUAGGUGAACCUGCGGAAGGAUCAUUACAGAAAGUAAACGCGGAUCGAACCGCGAACUUCUAAACCUUUGACGAUUGACUCAUGUUGCCUCGGCGGGUUCUCCCGCCAGAGGAUACAUCAAAACUCCUGUUUUAACGGUGUUGUCUGAGCUACAAGCAACGAAUCAAAACUUUCAACAACGGAUCUCUUGGUUCUGGCAUCGAUGAAGAACGCAGCGAAAUGCGAUAAGUAGUGUGAAUUGCAGAAUUCAGUGAAUCAUCGAAUCUUUGAACGCACAUUGCGCCCCUUGGUAUCCCGAGGGGCAUGCCUGUUAGAGCGUCAUUUCACCACUCAAGCCUGGCUUGGUGUUGGGCGACGUCCCCUUUGGGGACGCGCCUCGAAACGCUCGGCGGCGUGGCACCGGCUUUAAGCGUAGCAGAAUCUUUCGCUUUAAAAGUCGGGGCCCCGUCUGCCGGAAGACCUACUCGCAAGGUUGACCUCGGAUCAGGCAGGGAUACCCGCUGAACUUAAGCAUAUCAAUAAGCGGAGGA